AGUGAAAAUGCUGGGUCAUAUGUCAAGUGUAUGUUAAAUUUUAAAAGUAACUGCCAAACUGUUUUCCAAAAUGCCUGACUCAUUUUGCAUUUCCACUAGCAAU
rnacentral:pre_miRNA from 1 species